UAGGGAAUCUUCCGCAAUGGACGCAAGUCUGACGGAGCAACGCCGCGUGAGUGAAGAAGGAUUUCGGUUCGUAAAACUCUGUUGUUAGAGAAGAACAGCGCAUAGAGUAACUGUUAUGCGUGUGACGGUAUCUAACCAGAAAGCCACGGCUAACUACGUGCCAGCAGCCGCGGUAAUACGUAGGUGGCAAGCGUUGUCCGGAUUUAUUGGGCGUAAAGCGAGCGCAGGCGGUCAAUUAAGUCUGAUGUGAAAGCCCCCGGCUCAACCGGGGAGGGUCAUUGGAAACUGGUUAACUUGAGUGCAGAAGAGGAGAGUGGAAUUCCAUGUGUAGCGGUGAAAUGCGUAGAUAUAUGGAAGAACACCAGUGGCGAAGGCGACUCUCUGGUCUGUAACUGACGCUGAGGCUCGAAAGCGUGAGUAGCAAACAGG
rnacentral:rRNA from 1 species